rnacentral:rRNA from 1 species
UACGUAGGGUGCGAGCGUUGUCCGGAAUUAUUGGGCGUAAAGAGCUCGUAGGCGGUCUGUCGCGUCGGAUGUGAAAAUCCAGGGCUCAACCCUGGACCUGCAUUCGAUACGGGCAGACUAGAGUUCGGCAGGGGAGACUGGAAUUCCUGGUGUAGCGGUGAAAUGCGCAGAUAUCAGGAGGAACACCGGUGGCGAAGGCGGGUCUCUGGGCAUCUCCUGACGCUGAGGCGCGAAAGCGUGGGGAGCAAACGGG